GGAUUUGAGACAAAAUCCUGGCUCAGCUUGAAAAGAUUAUAACCCUGGUGAACCAAGGAAUAAAGGAAACAAGGGUGCACAUGUAUGUAUGUAUACUUUUAA